UUUAGAUUACACUGACAAAGUUUGGUGUUGAUCUGAAUAAAUCUCUAGGAGGAGUUCGUUAAAGUACAACCCCUGAAAAUGGCAAAAACGACACAAAUUUUGCAGAGAAAAUUCAAAAUAACUGACUUCCUGUUUGGAUUCGAAUUUCGUACCAAGAGACUUUUUUGUAGGUAUUGGUGUGUUACAUGUGUGUACCGAUUUUUGUACAUGUACGUGAAACGUAGCUCGAGGCGCACUCCGUUGAAAAUGUAUAGGUGGCGCUAUCGAGGCAUUUUGCCACACCCGAUGGAAUAUUGGCCUUCAGAUGUGUUCAGGCCAGGACUCUUAUC
ensembl:lncRNA